AGGCAAACUGAUAUUGAUCAAGUGAAAUGGUUGAGUACAUAAUGCUAGCCUUGAUUAGCAAAGACCUUUUGCAGCCAAAUGCAGAGCACCUGUGCAUAUAUACCCCUUUCUGAGUUGAAGCAAUUUUACUCGACAUUAUGCUCUGUUUCACUUUACAUACUUCCUUACCAAAAACAAUCGAGGCAUGCUUAAUUCCUUCUCAAUAACCGCAAGGAAAAGGCACCACUCUC
rnacentral:lncRNA from 1 species